rnacentral:lncRNA from 1 species
CUGGGAUUAGAAAGAGAGUGUGGUCAUGAAGAAGCACGGCCUGAAGAAGAGCCAAAAAGGACUCUUAGUCAUUCUAGAAUUUGAGGAGUGAUUUUUAACACGCCAGGAAGAAGCAAAGAGAAAUAUCUUUGACAAGGCUUGUCAAUGAGAGAGCAACACACACAGAGAGUGAACAAAAUUGAGAAGAAACAGAUACAGCAUUAUGAAGACAAGAGUUAUAAGCACCACGUCUGAAGCUUAAUGGCAGUGCUAAUCCUGAUUUAUACCUCCAAAUGCCAAAUCUGGAAGGAAAGGUCAAAGUGGUCAGCGGGUUCCCCUUAUGCUAUGCAAGAAAACUCAAACAUGUGGAAUUACAGUCUGGAAGCAGUCAUAAUCCCCAAGUCAUGGUCAGAGCAGAGGCAUUGUGAAAAGAUGUAUAAUCUACCUUGAUUUGUGGUGUAAUUAAGAACUCAAUCUUUGCUGCAUUGAGUCAUUAAAGUUUUGUGUUUAAUGAUAUUGUUAUAUUGCUUAUCUCAGGGAGACUAAAAGAAUUUGCCUUCAAGAUUAUAUUCAGGAACAACUAAUUCAGAAAACCUUCCCUAUUCCUACCCAGACUGGGUCACCUGUAUCUUCUCUGUGAUUCCCGAAUUGUGACCUUCAUUCUCUCCUGGUACUUGUUUGGUGGGGCUUCCCCGGUGGCUCAGUGGUAAAGAAUCCACUUGCCAAUGCAGGAGUCAUGGGUUUGAUCCUUGGGUCAGGAAGAUCCCCUGGAGAAAGAAAUGACAACCCACUCCAGUAUUCUUGCCUGAAAAAUCCUGUGGACAGAGGAGCCUGGUGGCUACAGUCCAUGGGAUCUCAAGAGUCAGACAAGACAGAGCAACUGAGCACACACACAUACUUACUUGGCUAGAGAAAGGGUCUGAUGAUGUCCACCAUUUCUUCCUUAACAAUAGGCUGUGCUCUCUUUCAGGACAAGGCUAUGUCUGUUCUAUUAUUUUGGUAUGUUUUAC